GGGGAGGGAUGAGGGAGAGGAACAGGAAGGUCGGGCUCAUGGAAGCCUCGGCUGUGAAAAGAAUGACCAGGAAAUGGAGGCUCCAUGUGAGCCCACGGGGUGGCCCCGAGCUGGGGCUCUCCCUCCCGGCUAAGGGUAAACUUACGGGAUCCUUGUGUCACUGUGAUGUUCGAGGCCCCCGGCAGUUAAGGUCCCUCUGCUGGACUCGUCGCGCUGCGCCGGCACAGCAGCUCGGAGGAUGGCAGUCCCUGCCCUGCCCUCUUCCUCAGACUCGGUGAAGAAGAGAUGAGAGGACUUGGGGAAGGACAAAGGAGGAGGAUGGGAAGGACAGACUCGUAGGAGCCUUGGCUGUGAAAAGAAGAAUGACCAGGAAAUGGAGGCUCCGUGUGAGCCCACGGGGUGGCCCUGAGCUGGGGCUCUCCCGGAUAAGGGCAAACUUACGGGAUGGGAGCAUCAGCACCGGCGUCGAGGCGGCCGUUUGGAUGGAGGUGGACGAGUCCUGGCGCGCCGGCGAUCCCUGGGGCGCGAUCUCUUUCUCAGCCUGACGGUGGCGUGGUGGCUGGUCUGCCCCAGCAGAGGUGGAUCCACCUCCAUCAUAUCAUCCUCCGGAGGUAGAUCCACCUCCAUGGGCUCUGUGUCGCUGCCAGGCAGGUCCACCUCCAUGGGCUCGAUGUCACUGCCCAUUUCCGUCAGCCGCCUCUUCUUAAAAGGUGGUUGCUCCAUCUCGGGAAGGAGAAACUUCUUGACGUGCUAACGCCACUAGCUCUCUCCUCUCGGGGGUUCUCGGUGUCCCGUGGAAACCAAAACAUGGCAGUUGGGAGACUGUUGCAAGAAUGUACCAAGAGAGUUGGGGGGCGGGGAGGGGGGGAGGCAGCACAUGGGGGGUUCUCAACCACCCUGCAGCUCCCUGGAACGUACCAAGAGGGUCAGGGAAGGGGGUUCUCAAACACCCUGAAGCUGCCUGGGAUGGAGCUGUCCUGAUACCAGACAGUAGUGGAGAGGAGGCAAAGCAUACUGACACCUCACAGGCAGCCAAGGGAGAUGCAGUCAUUAAAAAUUGUUGAGUUUCAAGGAUUGUAUCAGCUGUCCUUUCUCAUCCCUCACUGAUGCCCCUGACUGCGAGAAGGUGGCAUCUCUUCUAUCCUUAUACCAAAGGAGAGAGAUGGGGAGAAGAGGGCCCACUGUCCUCUGGGCAGUCACACUGGGACUGCGGGGGAGUGCGUUGGAGGGCCUGUGAGGUCCUUGCGACAUGUUGGUGGGGUUUUCCACCCUGAGGAAGAGAAGAGCAAUUAGGGUUUGCUGUCCUCAGCCUGUUCUCUCCUUGAUUAAGGUGAAGCCAGGUCCUCCAUGGCAGCAUACAAAGAACAGCUGGAUAUCAGUAAUGGCCCUAGAUAAGCAGUUUGGAUCUCUGCAAUCUCUGGAAUAGGGGUAUUGAAAAGAGAAUUUUGGGGCAGGGAUACUGGUGUGUCAGUGGCUGUCCCCUAUCAGUUGACCCUUGUGUACCUCAAGCAGCAUGAAAGUGUUCAGACCCUACCAUCAGGUGAAGAGGAAAGAGCAGUGUUUGUUUCCUGUGCAGUGACUAAAUUAACUACUAAGCUACCCAGUGGACUAACAGGGGCAGAUGUCCCCUCUCAGCUCAUUCAUAGCUUUUUUGCCUUUGGCUCAUGCUUCUUUGUGAAGGCUUCUGGUGCAGAUGGCACAUUUAGAGGACUGACUGUUGGUGUUACGGGUUUGAUUCAGUCAAACUCAGUUGAGUUUGGAUAUCCUGGGGAGGAUGGAGGCCUCCCUUCCAUUGAACCAGACAUUGGCGCAUUAGUUUCUUAAAAACAAGUCAAAUAUCCCACUAGUUUUAUGAUUUUGUUGCUCUCUGCUUUUGUUUUAAUAAAAAAAUAUAUU
ensembl:lncRNA